rnacentral:hammerhead_ribozyme from 1 species
AUACUGAUGAAGAGUCGAAACUAGGACGAAACAGCUGUCCGGUAC